GUCCCAUGUCCGGCGGGGAGCUACGCGGGGGUGGGCCAGCUGUGGUGUCUCCAGUGCCCCUACAACUACUCCAGCCCUGAAGGGAGCAUCCAGGCGUCAGACUGCC
rnacentral:SRP_RNA from 11 species